UACGGAGAGUGCAAGCGUUGUUCGGAAUUACUGGGCGUAAAGGGCGUCUAGGCGGCUGACCAAGUCAGAUGUGAAAUCCCUCGGCUCAACCGAGGACGUGCAUCUGAAACUGGUUAGCUUGAGUACUGGAGGGGGCAGCGGAAUUCCCGGUGUAGAGGUGAAAUUCGUAGAUAUCGGGAGGAACACCAGUGGCGAAGGCGGCUGCCUGGCCAGAUACUGACGCUAAAGCGCGAAAGCGUGGGGAGCAAACAGG
rnacentral:misc_RNA from 1 species